rnacentral:lncRNA from 1 species
GACAUUUACUACAAGAGGGAGGGUAGGGGGGGUUUCUGGUUUAUGGUCAAUAGUAAGAUUUAUUGUGAAGAACACUGUGUGAACCAGGAUGUCUUGAGUUUUGAUCCAGGGCAAAAGCUCUAUGAAAAGUGAAGUAUGGCAAUGACCUCCCUGACCUCCAUGUUCAUAUAUGCAUGAAAAUAAUUGUCAAGGAGAAGAAUAGUUUAUGAUAGAAGUACUGAUACUUUCAAUUUUAGUCUUUUAACGCUGAUACAGAAUCAUAAGUGUAAAUUACUGCAAUCAUUCUUUUGAAUGACUAGGUCAAUUUGAUGCCACACUAUUCACAUAUUGUUCUUCAGAGAGAACUGUACUCUGGAUACUACAGAUUAUAAGGCACCACAGGCUAUCAGUUCUCUGCAUGCUUAUCAGAGAGAUUCAGAGUCCCUGAAAAAACUCAGCUGGAGUAUUCUGUGAUUAUCAAGUUGCAAAGGAUUGGCCUCCAUUAUUCCUAUUCUGUUCUCACUCAAUAAGCUGGUAGGGCUUUGGCAGAGGUAAACCAAGUUCCCACUGCUGCCAGCCCUUCAGUCCUGCUUCAGUUCUCUUCAGUGUAUCCCUUGACAACUCUAGGUUUCCGUGGGAGCUACUGUUCCAGCUGCUUAGGAAACAGAGCAGAUGUGGCACAGGUGGCCAUAGAAGCAUCCUGGCUCUCCUCACUCAGUCCUGUCACAGGGUCCUAGAGUGCUGAUGUCUAGAUGAAACUCACCACUUACCCCAAAUGCCACACAUGGCAAAACUGCUUUUGACCUCAUCAGAGUAAAGAGAUCCUGCUUCUGACCAGGAAUGAUUUUCCUCUUGUCAUAGCCCUGUACUGGUAAAUGGAAAGAAGGAGACAGGAAAAAGAGAGACUGAUCUGAAGAGAUCUGUAAAACUGUUUCAGCCUUCAUCAACAUUUUCCUCUCUAGUGGCCAAAUGUUUGCUGCAAAAAACCCAGUCUUUUCCACAGCUGUCCUUUAUUCCCACUGACAUUCGAAGCUCCAGAAACAAACACCUCCAAACUCCUGGGAAGCACAGACAAGCUUUGCAGUGCUGGAAAGUCUUCGGAAGUGGCUUUAAUUCCAUGUACACACUGUCAGAGGACUUGUCCAGAAAUGUCUCCUGUACAGCCUGGAGCUGGGAUGUUCUUUCAUUAUACAUCUCACACAGUCAGUACCAAUGUUUUCCCAAUGUUCAUGUUUGGAGCUGUGAUAAAGGUCUAACAAUAGCAUGAAGAACAUAAAAUUUAGCAGCAGUCCAAAAAGUGUUUCAGUGGCAGCCCCAUUUUAAGUGGAGAGGAAAUAAGUUAAAACUUAGGUACGUCUCACUCUUACCUUGUAAUUUGCUUGCACAGGCCUGUUUAUAUGACAGCUGUGACAACAUUUAAAUAACAUAAUUUUGAAUCUGAAUUAUAGAUGAUGUUUUGUACUUUAACAGAUCUCAAUGGCUAAAUAUUUAUCUUUUCCUCUUUCAGGUGCCUCCUUUGUUGGCAGAUUUCCAGUUCCUUCUGUGUUACAUCUCUCCUUUGAAAAUACUGCAUUGAAUAAGGAUUUCACUUCUUUGGAGCUUUGCUCCUCUUUCACCUGGUUCCUGUGGUGAAAGUAAUUAAGAGCAAUUGGUUGCUAUAGAAAUAUUAAUAUUUAUUAUUGGUACUGCAGUAAUAUCCUGAAGCUUCAGCAGCUGUGAUAUAAAUACAUGAGAGAGUAAUAAAUGUGAUAGUGCCAGCUGAGGAUUAUUACUU